rnacentral:rRNA from 1 species
GGCGGUUGUAACGAUAACAAUCAUAAAGUAGCGAAAUUCCUUGCCAGCUAAUUCCUGGCCUGCAUGAAAGACGUAACGAUUGCCCUACUGUCUCCAGCAUGGACUCAGUGAAAUUGAAUUUUCCGUGAAGAUGCGGAAAUCGUGCCCCAAGACGAGAAGACCCUAUGCAUCUUUACUGUACAUUUACAUUGAACAAAGAACUUAAGUAUGUAGGAAAGGUGGGAGUGCUUACAUCCUUGAAAUACCACCUUCUUGAGUUCUUCAUUCUUAUUUGCAUGGCAAAAAAAGUGUAUAUGAGGCAGUUUGACUGGGGCGGUCGCCUCCUAAAGAGUAACGGAGGCGUACGAAGGUAAACUCAAUGAAAGUUGGAAACUUUCUGAAGAAUGUAAUGGUAAAAGUUUGCCUGACUGCAAGACUCAACAAGUCGAGCAGAGACGAAAGUCGGUCAUAGUGAUCCAAAAGUACCGCGUGGAAGGGCUUUUGCUUAACGAAUCAAAGAUACGCUAGGGAUAACAGGCUAAUAAUUCCCAA